rnacentral:rRNA from 1 species
UACAGAGGGUGCGAGCGUUGUUCGGAAUUAUUGGGCGUAAAGGGCGCGUAGGCGGUGCGGUAAGUCACCUGUGAAAUCUCCCGGCUCAACCGGGAGCUUGCAGGCGAAACUGCCGUGCUGGAGUGUGGGAGAGGUGCGUGGAAUUCCCGGUGUGGCGGUGAAAUGCGUAGAUAUCGGGAGGAACACCUGUGGCGAAAGCGGCGCACUGGACCACAACUGACGCUGAGGCGCGAAAGCUAGGGGAGCAAACAGG